rnacentral:rRNA from 1 species
UACGAAGGGGGCGAGCGUUAUUCGGAAUCACUGGGCGUAAAGCGUGCGUAGGCGGCGAUGAAAGUUAGAAGUGAAAGCCCAGGGCUUAACCUUGGAAUUGCUUUUAAAACUACAUUGCUAGAAUUCGGGAGAGGAUAGCGGAAUUGUCAGUGUAGCAGUGAAAUGCGUAGAUAUUGACAGGAACACCAGUGGCGUAAGCGGCUAUCUGGACCGACAUUGACGCUGAGGCACGAAAGCGUGGGGAUCAAACAGG